UUGAGCAACCCUUAAUUCCCGUCGCCUCCUCCGACUCACUCUACACCGGCGACCACAACGCCCUCUCACUCCCUUCUCCUCUCUACACUCCGGCUAAACAACACAGUCAAGUCACGAUUCGCCCUUCGUUCCACCACCGCCUUUGAUUUCGGUUCGCGAGGUCUCAUCACCACCACUCCGUCGCCGUCAGAACGGAGUUUCUGUGCUACUGUUUGGAAGCCGCUGCCGUGGAAUCACCGCAGCCGAACAUCAGCGCCGAAUCAGGCGCCUCAUUGUCCCAGCUUUGCCGCAAUGUCUCGCCGUCGCCACUUGUUUAUUUAAUCGAGGAAGCGGACAGACUCGCCGUCUGAUUUUGAUGCUGCCGAUUCUCGCCUAGCGGUGAGAGGCGCUCGAGAAUCCACCAAGCAGUCGCUGCCAUCGGGGUCUCACUUCGGUCGGUGUCAUUCUCCAGCCAUCUCGGCUGCAUUGUCACUAUCAAUUUCGUCGGACUUCCGUGGACUUCUAGGCUUAAUAGUUGUGUGGCAAUGGAGGCGUUCUUGUUCUAGUUCAGGCCAUCAUGAACUUAAAGUUAUCGGGCUGAGACAAUAUUUCCUCAUACAUGGCUGCUAUCUCCCUCCUAAAAUCUAAAGCUUUAUCUAUUCUUUUGCACCUUUGUGAAGCUGAAAGUGUAUCCUACCUGGAUGAGGUGGCCAGCAACACAACAACUAGGGAUGUGGCAAAGUCUGUUGGACUCGAGGUUCUUCAAUUGCUGAAAAAUGUUUGGUAUAGAUUCAAGACAGUUAAAAGCUCCCUCCGAGGCAAGUUACCCGAAGGGUCAACUGGAACGUAAUACAAAGCGCUUGGCAGAUGUCGUCUCAGAUGCUUCAAAUUUUCGGUCAUUCAUCAUGAUAAACUUUAAGCUGACAAAGUGUCUAAAGUUAGCAAGAACUUAUGUUCACAGUUGAGUCAUUCUGAAUCUUUAGUUCCAGGAGUUUUGAAUGAAGAUGAUGUAUAACUGCUGAGGUUAUUUAUAAGUCAGUUUGAGUGCCGAAUCAUUCGUGCUGCAUCGGAAGAUCAUUUAGUCCAUGAGCUUGGGAAGGGGUGGACUGCAGGAGCAACUAGCUUCCUAUAUUGGACUCUCGGCCCUGAUGAGAAAAAAAGAGGAAUAAGCUUCAUAAAAAGGAAUUUUAAAGCCACAAAAGGAAGGUAGGAAGGUAAGAUGAAUCUUGUAAAGAUGACAGGAAAGAUUGCAGUAUAUAUUUAAAGAAAACAAUUUUAUCGGUCAAUCAAAACUGAAUGUUUGGAAAGUAUCGAAGAUGAUCUAAAUUGACUGAGUAUUAUGUUUUUUAUUCUGAUAAAGAUACACUGGUAGAGGUUUGUUUUCAGCAUUUUGGUAUGUGAGAAGGUACCAGGUUUCCAGCAAGGCAGGAAAUCCGAGCUUUUAUUGUAGUCGUCAAAUCCUGGUCUUUGAGGAUUCUGAAAUCGCUGGCCUUGGAAGCUGGUUGAGCACUCAAUUAGUGUCAAGUAAAGAUACUUUCUAUGAGGAUCAGUCAUUAAGCAUCAACGUGUGACUCACCUUACGCUGAGUAUUGCUUUACGAGCUGUUUUAGAUGCUUUGAGUAAGCCUGCAGAUUGGUAAGUUUGUCCCUUCCUCGGUUAUCUGUGAAUUCAGUCUGACCUUGGAUUUAUGACAUUGAGAUGUUUUUCUCUGGGAGUAAGGCAUUGGAGCAGUUUGUGGACCGUAUCAUUGAGUAUUACUUCUCCAGUUUAGUUUUGACCACCUCACUAUUUAUUACAGCGAGUUGAAGGGUAUAAAGAUGCAACCAAUAUUUGCUUCAAUAUUCAAACAUUUAUUUAAUAAACCUAACUUUAGUUCGAUAUUAAGUGUGCCAUUUCAUACUAAAGCCAUCAAUGAAGAACUACUGCAAAAUCUUUCUGAUGCUCUACACUUAUCGGUACCUGAUAAAAUUGGAGUUGGUCUUGCUUUGUCUAAUUCUGAAGAACACGAUAUCUUUAUGAUACUAAGAAGUGUGGUUAGUUAUUCUCUUCUUUGUACAUACAUUUAGAUAUAUUAUUUUGUUUAGUUGUAGGAAGUGAAAUACAUGCAUAAGUUUAUUAUUUUUUUCUCCUUGGAAUUCUUCCGCAUGUUUCACUAAACCUAUAACCCUUUUCUUGGCUGUAUGCAGGAAAGAAUUUCUGUUUGACACAAUUUAGAGAGCUGUGUGCCAAACCUACUGCGUUUGAGGCUACUGUGAUAAUUCAGCAUAUUCUCGUGUUACUCUUAGUCAAUUUGAAGUUUUUAAUUAUUUAGAUUCAUUCUUGCAAAUGUUAUCUAUUGUUCCACUACUAAGGUUUUUCUGUUAUAGUUCCUAAUGCAUAAAUAGACUAGAAUGUACUUGGUCGAUAUAAAGGUCGAGGGUGGUAGGGGGCGACUAACUUCUUAACUUAAGAGAAACGGCGGAAUAGGGUGGAAAACAAAAGGCACAAGUCUAUUUAUUGGUUUUUGAGCUUGAUUUGCUUGAUCUUCUGCUUCUUGGUUGUUGCGCCUACAAUUUUCUAUUUAUUCAAUUCAUUCUUUGCUGCCUUUUGCAGCUUUACAAUUAACCUGUAACAUAUAUUAUAUUUUUGUGUGUUAUGACGUUUUUCUACUUUUUUCUAAUCCACUGUUUGCUACCUUGCAGCUUUAUAAUUAAUACAUACAUAGUAUCCUAUUUUCUUUGUCUUAUAUGCCGUGUACAAAUAUGUCUUAUAUUAGUUAUUCUUUGAUAUAUAAACCCCAUUGAUUGUCAAAUCUUGGCAUCUUAAUAUAUCUGUUAAUUGUUUUUAUAGGCUCUUUCCCAAGUACUUACUAGACACAUUUCCUUUUUACUUCGGCAUUAGGUUUGCUGAACUUGCUUCUAAAAAAUAAAUCGUGGGCCUUGGAAGCUGGUUGAGCACUCAAAUAGUGUCGAGUAAAGAUACUUUCUAGAGGAUCAGUCAUUAAGCAUCAACUUGUGACUAACCUUAUGCUGGGUAUUGCUUUACGAGCUGUUUUCGAUGCUUUGAGGAAGCUUGCAAAUUCAAAAGUUUGUUCCUUCCUAGGCAUUGGAGCAGUUUGUGGGUCAUCUCAUUAAGAAUUAUUGAUCCAGUUCAGGUUUGAGCACCUCACUAUUUAUUCCAGCGAGUUGAAGGGUAUAAAGCUGCAACCAAUAAUUGCUUCAAUAUUCAAAUAUUUAUUUAUUAAACCUAACUUUAGUUCGAUAUUAAGUGUGUCAUUUCAUACUAAAGCCAUCAAUGAAGAACUACUGCAAAAUCUUUCUGAUGCUCUACACUUGUCGGUACCUAAUAAAAUUUGGGUUGGACUUGCUUUGUCUAAUUAUGAGGAACACGAUAUCUGCACGAUACCAGGACGUGUGGAAAGACUUUCUGUUUGAGUCAGAUUGCUGCGUUUGAGGCUACUGAGAUAAUUCAGCAUAUUCUUGUGUUAUUCUUGGGAAACUAGGGUGUUUUCCGUGAUAGUUCCUAGUUGUCUAUAAUGAUCAGUCAUUAAGCAUCAACUUGUGACUAACCUUAUGCUGGGUAUUGCUUUACGAGCGGUUUUCAAUGCUUUGAGGAAGCUUGCAAAUUCAAAAGUUUGUUCCUUCCUAGGUAAUUGGUUAAUGUUAUUAUUGUGAAUUUCAGUCUGACCUUGGCUUUAUGACAUUCUGAUGUUUUCCUUUGGGAGCAAGGCAUUGGAACAGUUUGUGGACGGUCUCAUUUAGUGGCCACUGUACUGCCAUCAUAUCCUGCACUUUGUAACAUUUAUAGGGAGGGCACUUAACAGUAUUUCAGCGGCUUAUACUGAACUGAUGUUAGCCAUAGUGCCAAUACUGAUCACCGACACAGUCAUAUUCAAUCUUCAUCUCCACAUAUAGAGACUGCAGGCCCACCAUUUUCUCUGAUCGGACCCGGCAGCAUAUUGUCUGGAUUAGCAAUUCCCUCUUCGAUCCCACUACAACAGAGACCACCAAGUUCUCUAGAUGAGAGUUCACUCCUAAUUACAUGAAGCCAUCACAACACACCUACCCUUCCUAAGGCAAGUAAUAGGGUCUUUGUCUACUUUGAUGUAGUUCACUUGAUACUUUUUCAUUUUUACCUUGUUUUGACUGUAUUAUUAAGAGCUAAUCUACUCAA